GGUUGAAGCGUUCGCUUCAUCCAGAAGCGAGCCCCCACACGUCCUUCUUUCCUCUCCUCGGAUGGAUUCCUAGGGUUGCCGCCGCCUCGCCUCUCCCCCGCGCUCAUGCCUCUCCUUCUCCCGCCCCGGGCACCACCUCCUCCGGGCCCCUGCCUGCACUCCGCCCCUUCCUCUUCUUGUUGUGGCAGACAUCGCUGCUGAGCAUGCCUGCGUCGCCGCUGCUGCGGAGGGCUCCUCGACUCCGCUGCAUCCGAGGAGGGUGCCCUAUGGAGGGCCCUAAAUGUAGUAGGCGACUCCAUCCCAUGUCGCGUGCGGCGGAGGCCAGGCCAAAUCCGCCUCCUCCAGACCAUCCACUUCGUCACACAAAACGAAAAAGGUUGGCCCUAGUUCGAGCUCCGCCACCCCAUCCCAGGUCGUUGUUCAUCAGUGGCAGGCCAUGCUCCGCCUCCUCAACACCCACUGUGUCUGCGACCGGACCUUGACGGCGUUUGCCCUGGACAGGACCUCAACGGCGACCUCUAGAUAUGAAAUUGUCCUUGAUGGAUGAUUGUAACUAAGCUCAUGUUCUAGAUAUUAAAAAGGAUCGACCGGAUAAUGCCCUUGCAAUCACUGAUUUCGCUAUCAAGUCUACAAUCCAGUGUUGAUGUGUCAACACGGGAAGCAACGGCCAGCAGAGCGAUUCGGAUGAGAUGCUUGCUACUAGUUUCCUCGCCAUGCCGCGACCAGAGCCUCCGCCGGUCAGUACUGUUGCUGUCUUCUUCGACAACGGCGAGAUCCGUAGCACAUGCGAGUGGAAGACUGCGCUGCCAGUUUAGGUGUUGUUUCUCCAGGUAAUAUGAUUCUCCGUCAUGUUUUCCCAAGCACUAACAAAUUCCAUCAUUUGUUUGGCUUGCAUGUGAACGGGUCGAUGGGAAUUUUCUGGCUGUGGCUCUAAGCUGAAUCAGCACUUGAUCAACCUCAAGCCAUUGUGAUGGCUCCACUAGUAGGCACAAGAUGGAAACUACCGGUUUGAGAAGGGGCUAGCCGAAAUGAACAAGUGUCAUCUACAACAAUAGCCGCUUUUGUAAAGGAUGGAAGUACACUUCAGAGGGUUGCGCACCUAUGAAGCGGUUAUUGAUGAAGUCAUGGACAAGGGACUUGCCAAUGCUACACAGUCAUGAAAUCCUUAUCGUCUUCCUUCUUCUUCCAUACAUGAUAUACAACGCUAUCAUUAGUCCAAGUUAAAGCAGUUCUUGUGAUGCUUGAUACUGUUGGCAGGAGUGCUGACGGCAACCACAGGAGGGGGUCGGGGUGAUCGAAGAGUAAGGCGUGGGUGACUCCAGCGAGAUGUUUCUAGAGCGGAUGUCAAUGAUGCGGCAAUGAGAAGACCCUCACUCUUCACAAUUCAUAGAUCCUGGCGUCUCGCAUUAAGAAAGCACAACAAUAAAAGCCACAUUCUACCGUCAUUGCAGAGUGCAGGCAUGGAAGGGGUGGUAAGCCAAGAGAUAGUCGUGACUCAAAAAAUUGUUGAGUGUGUGGAUGGGGUAGCUCAAAUAUAGAUUCUGAAAAGAGGAAAAGGCGCUAAAGUUGUCCUGGAAGCAAUUAUUUUUCAUACAUGUUUUCAUACUGAUAAGGAACUACUCAAAAGAGAAGUUUCAAGGAACUAAUCAACAAAGUGCAGUACAUUGAAA